GAUGUUGAAUUCAUAGCAGAAUUUACUUUCAAUGCUGUACUGGCUGAAAGCAGUAGUACCACUGCCUGCUCACCCGUACUAAGGGAGGCUGCAAGCAAACAUGUCAAAGGAUCCUGGAAAUGAAGAAGUUAAGAAACUGUUAGCCAGAACAAAUGCCUACUCUACCCGAUUUGAUACCUUUCUUCUGUUGGAUCCUGAAAAUCAUGGUAUCGAGGACUGGUUAGAAUUUUCUGUAGCUGACCUCUUCACGCAGUGCCUGGGGUUUUUGGAACAGGUCCUUUCCGUUUGCAUUCUUACUUUCAAAGUAACGGCCCUUGCCGAACACUUAUCUACCAAUAGAACAGAGGCAGUGUUGCUUAGUUUUGUGUUAAAAAAAUAAAACAUCACAGCAAAUUAAGCUAUGCGGGGAAUAUUGGGAUGGCCAAAGUGUGAAACUACUGAACUCCAUUGCGGUAUUUAAAAAUCUCCACUCCUAUAUUAUUUUUUUGAAAAGAAACAAGCCAACUUUAUAACUUAAACACAGAAUAUACUGCUAACAAAGAAAAAUCACAAACGUUUUCAAGAAAUUACGUUGAAUAGUUUUCCAUAGAAAUAAUAAAGUAUGAAGGAAAGUCUACAGUGUCGCAAACGGAGAUAUGCGGUUUCACACUUCGGCCGUUGAUAUAGUCGUAACCAUCUAUUUUUGGUUUAAUUAAUCCUAAAAUUGAGGUUAGAUGUUUGCUUUCUCGUGUUUUUGCAUGAGAUUAUAUGCUUCUCCAGAAUCAUUCAUAAGUUUAAUGGAUUGUAACGGAGAAACUUUUCUUUUUGUUAUUUUCGUAGGGUGAGUUAAGGAAGUCACAGAUCAUCUGGGUAGACAUUUGCAUGAGAUUUCAGCAGAACUGAAUGUAGAUUAUGUUAAACAACUAUUUAAUGAAAUUCCAUCAACAGUCUCCAUUGUGGAAGCAUUGCCUUGGCUUCAGCAAGUUAUACCUCAUGUGUUGGACUCUUUUCCGGAAGUUUUAACUGAGUUCAUCGAAUGGUUCCUUACAAAAGUGUGGGAAUUAGAAAAGAUAGCGCCAUCAAAGUGGCCCUCCAUUGGAGUCCAGUAUGCAGAAAUUUUACUUCAGAUGAUUCGCAACCCUCGAAGUUUGGUAGCAUCUGAAAUGAAGGCAUAUUUUUGGCAUUCAAGCACACUUAAUUCACCAGUCAGCAAACUUAUAAAGAUAAUAAAAACUCUAAAGGAGAUCAAUGAUUUGUUUCAGCAUUAUAAUAUCCAUAUCAGCACAACAGAAUAUUAUCAUGAUAGCCCGGAAGAAGUCGUCUUCAUUCUGUUAAGCCGAGCACCUAUAGAUGAAUGCAGCAGAUUAGUCAAUGAGUUUUUGGACAAAUUUUUCUUGAAAACCAGUUAAUUCGAGAUAAGAUAAUUGCUCGUUUCAUUGAAGUAAGUACCAUUGUCUCUACUGUAGUUGUUCACUCAUCCAGGUUAGUUCUUAAAAUAUGAAGAAAACGAUGGAAUAUGUCCACUGCCACUGAACAAAUCAAUUAGGUAUAAGUUAUAAAGAAUUGUUCCAGCGAAUUGUGUCACAUAAUUUAGAAAACCUUAAAAUGAUUGCAUUUUAGAAAGAAAGAGAUAGCUCUUUCUCUUCCUUCCCCUGACCCUCCCCUCCUCCUAAUAAGCUUUUUUUACAGAGAGGGCCAUAUGUAUCCACGUUUUUCAAAAAAACUAAUGAGCCUGAAAAUGUGUAAUAAAUAAACCUCUUCAAUUACUUGAGGAAUAAAUACGAGUAUUUCACUUAGUUGAAAACGAAUGUAUUUUUAACAGGAGGAGGUCAUGUAAGUGUCCCAUUGAGAUUUAGAUCGGUGUGCAUAUUUUCAAAAGUUUCUUCCCAUAAACAUAGUGUACCCCAAUUUCACUGGUUGUGUGCAUGGGCCCUAAAAAUUAAUUUUUUUUUUUUUUUAUCAAAUCAGGGAAAAGAGUAGUUAUUUAAAGUGGCAAAAUAACGCUCCUCUCGUUUCAGUGUUGCAACAGCAUUGUAUGCAGAUGGGGGCUUUGUGUUCAGGCCGAAGGACCUGGGACUGAACUCUCAGCGUUCUCUUGUAGUUUAUGUGUAACUGUUCCCGUAAACAGAGAGAAAGUGAAAAUUCCUUAUUUCUUUUUUAGUGUAUUUUCCGAAGGAAAUACACUACUGCAUCUCCUUUGACGUCAGACCCGGACCAAAGAUCAUGUAAUGAGCAUCUAUCAUGGGUUGUAGAUUACGAAUAUGCAUGCCGUUUGAAUAUAAGUUUAUACACACUACGGGAAACGCCCCCUAGCCACUGCGCGGCCCAUCCCACUGAAGGCGCUCCGUGCCAUCAAGGGACUUCUUGACGGCCCUGUUUUCCAGCUUCUUAUCAAUGUUGGUUUUUUCCCAACUCGAGGUCCGGGGGAGGGGCGCAUCAUGCAACGGCCAAGCAUAUCCCCGCGAGAAUAUGAAUGACUGCUGCAGACCGUCACAAAACAUUCGCCGAACAAAAAUUCAGGAAGAUCCUAAAUGCCCUUGAUAGCAAGAAAGUCUGUACUAACUUCUAAAGGAACUAUAUCUCUAGUGCGGAGCUAUUUCUUGAUACUCCAGAGCAGAGCACUUACCAUUUGGAUAGCCGAAAAUUUUCAAUCUUGCUCUGACCCUCUCAGCCGCAUUUCACCUCUUCGCCAGAACGUAAUGCUCUGAGCCACCACAUCAGCAGUGCUGAAAGUGAGGAGUUAUUUUUUCAGUCUAGCAAGUAACCUUCUUGGCAAAUUUCUGAUAUUUUUUUUUCAGCUACUGGGGCUCCUCUGCCAAAAUGGUUAAAUAGGGGUCAAAUGGUUUCCUAUUAAGAUACUUACGGCCACAUACUGAAUCAAAUGUAGGUAAGACACUCUUCCCUGUAUGAAGAACGGUUGCCAACCUGUUUCAUAAUCGGUGCCGCAAAAUAUGAAUAAUAGUGAUAACAUUAGUGCAUAAAGUUUUAAUAAUAUAGAAGGGGAAAAGACGUAGGAUUCUUUCAAGUGACAAUAAAUCAAGAAAAUUGCUUAGUUUGCAACUCGUCUAUUUUUUAAAUCAAGUCUCUAAUAGCUAAUCUUUUUUUUCUCCUCUCUCUUCUUUUUUCUGUGUGUUCUUACAGAUGGAAAUCGAGCAUCAUCUGCAGUGGUGGAAGUGUGAAGACAAUUUCAAAGAAAUGAGAUUAUCAAGUUCAUUCAAUGCAUCUCUUGCCCUGAAGUAUGGAUCAAUUUCUUUAUUGCUCUGUAGUGGUUUCUAGUUUUUACUGACCAUGUUAACCCAUUGCCAUACCAUUUCAUUUUCAUUUUUCAAGCCUUGACAUGCCAUUCAACUCAGGUAAAAUCAGCCCCUCCACUGGAUGAAUUUGCAGUACGUCGACGCGUCUGUUUGUAAAUGUUGUCGUUGCCCACAGUGCGCUCGACAAAAUGCUUGGUUAAAGCAUGGCAGUUGGUAAAAAAGAACCUUACAUACAAGAUAAUGAGAAUGAAGUAAGAUUCAGAUUGCGUGCAAUGGAUCAGUCAUGUGCGUCAAAGAAUUGUGCUGUGAUGUUUUGAUAUACACCGUUCUGGUGGACAGGCUGUCGACAAAUUUAGUUUUCUGCAUGGGCCAUGUCAAAUCCAAUGUAAACUGUGCAACGAGGCCCAGCGCCGCGCACUAUGGUCCACAGCCCAUAUUUAAUGGAACUUUAUUCAAAUUUUGAAGGUGCAAGAAAGUAAAGUUUAGCACUGUAGUUUUAUCAUACAUACUCCGACUUUUGGGAUAGGAACCCUCUCCCUCCCAUUUACUCACCAAGGUGAGCUGGGGGGGGGGGGUGUUUCGGCACCAUGUAAUUCGAAUUCCUUGGGGUCGAUUCUCUAUUCAACCCUGCAGUCCCCGACUUCGUAGGACCUAAACCAACCGAGAAAAAGGCUUAGUACGGGUGGUGUGGGAUACCCUGUAUAACAAGGUAUAAAAAAUAUUUAUUAGAGAGGAAGGUAAGAGGGAGGAGAAAAUAUCUAUAAUUGCUGCCUACAGCAUGAAUAUAAGGCCCGAACGGUGAAAAACCUCUCCUUAGCCAGCGCGGGAUGGAGCGCUCCCGAUAUGCUGCGCGCGCGCGUAACCGGGAACGCGUAGAAAAAUCGCUAUAACUCAAGAGCAAAUCGUUUCCUCAAAUCUCACUUUUUAAAAAAAAUUCGGUGUUAAGACCCCUCUGCAAGGUUUUACGGCAAACUUGAAUGACCCUAUUUUAUAGAAAAUUUCAUGAACCUUUCGUUGCAUACCUUGUUUUUUUAUUAAACGCCCUUUUACAUGUAAAAAAUAAAAAAAACACGGACAUUUUUUUGAGCAAAUUGCUAUUUUUUCAACAUUGCCUCCGCAUUUUCACGAGAGACACCAGAAAGACAAAUAAAGGUACAUUUCUUACAUAAAACGAGGUGUUGCGAUUCGGGCCGAAAUUGGCCCCUCCAUGAAAUCGGGAAAUCUUUGAAUGUUUGACGGUUGACGAUGCAUACUUAACAGAAAUAAUCGAGUUUUGCCGAUACUCCUAUUUCUUGGCUGCGAAACAGGGGCCUUAACAUGGCUCUGGAGCAUAAACAGCUAAAAAUCCAUGUUUUUCGCGGUUCUACCUCUGAUUUCGACCUGGGUCCUAAGGGACGGGUCAUGAGCUUCGAAUAUGAUGUCAGGGACACCUAGGCACGUGAUUUCCUUGAAAAUGAUCAACCGUUCCCUUUGGGCCCAAGUUCCAAUCGAACUUUUCUAACUUUCUUAUCCCAAAGUAGCUGAAAUCCAUGUUUUCCGCAGUUCUAUUUUAGAUUUUGACAUGGGCCUAAAGGUGACGGAUAAUCAUAUUAACACUGUAAGUUAUAUGUCUUGGUUUCUCUGCAAUCAUAUUCGAAGCUCGCGGCCCAUCCCCUUUGAGCCCAGGUCAAUAUCUGAGGUAGAACCGCGAAAGUAAUGGAUUUUCAGCUAUUGUGGGCUAAAAACUUAGAAAAGUUCGAUUUUAAACUUGAGCCCAAAGGGGACGGUUGAUCAUAUUCAAGUUUGUUACAUGCCUAGGUGUCCCUGACAUCAUAUUCGAAGCUCAUGACCCGUCCCCUUUGGACCCAGGUCCAAAUCAGAGGUAGAACGGCGAAAAACAUGGAUUUUAAGCGUUUUCUGCUCCGGAGCCGUGUUAAGGCCCCUAUUUCGCAGCCAAGAAAUGUGAG
rnacentral:lncRNA from 1 species